GGAUUGGAANUGGGCGCAGCCUGAUCCAGCAAUGCCGCGUGAGUGAUGAAGGCCUUCGGGUUGUAAAGCUCUUUCGCACGCGAGGAUGAUGACGCUAGCGUGAGAAGAAGCCCCGGCUAACUUCGUGCCAGCAGCCGCGGUAAUACGAAGGGGGCGAGCGUUGUUCGGAUUUACUGGGCGUAAAGGGCGCGUAGGCGGCGGGCCAAGUCGAGUGUGAAAGCCCCGGGCUCAACCUGGGAAUUGCGCUCGAGACUGGUUUGCUUGAGUUCGGGAGAGGAGCGUGGAAUUCCCAGUGUAGAGGUGAAAUUCGUAGAUAUUGGGAAGAACACCGGUGGCGAAGGCGGCGCUCUGGACCGAGACUGACGCUGAGGCGCGAAAGCGUGGGGAGCAAACAGGAUUAGAUACCCUGGUAGUCCACGCGGUAAACGAUGUGUGCUAGACGUUGGGGAGCCUAGCUCUUCGGUGUCGCCGCUAACGCUUUAAGCACACCGCCUGGGGAGUACGGCCGCAAGGUUAAAACUCAAAGAAAUUGACGGA
rnacentral:rRNA from 1 species